AUCUUUGUGCAGUGGCAUUAUCAUAGCCCAAGAUGUUAAUCCGAGGCGUGAAUAUUGCUAAUUGAAAACUUUACCCAAUACCCUACCUUGAUGACUUGAAAUAUAGUCAGCUCUGGCAAUUCAUGAUAGUCUCUAUUGAGA